rnacentral:rRNA from 1 species
UACAGAGGCCCCGAGCGUUAUCCGGAAUUAUUGGGCGUAAAGGGUGUGUAGGUGGCGUAAUUAGUCGGUUGUUAAAGACCCGGGCUCAACCCGGGAAUCGCGACCGAAACGGUUAUGCUUGAGUAUGUGAGAGGUAAGUGGAACUCCUGGUGUAGCGGUGGAAUGCGCAGAUAUCAGGAAGAACACCAACGGCGAAGGCAGCUCGCUGGGACGGUACUGACGCUAAGGCGCGAAAGCGUGGGGAGCGAACAGG